AGCGAACGCUGGCGGCAGGCCUAACACAUGCAAGUCGAACGAACCUUUCGGGGUUAGUGGCGGACGGGUGAGUAACACGUGGGAACGUGCCUUUAGGUUCGGAAUAACUCAGGGAAACUUGUGCUAAUACCGAAUGUGCCCUUCGGGGGAAAGAUUUAUCGCCUUUAGAGCGGCCCGCGUCUGAUUAGCUAGUUGGUGGAGGUAAUGGCUCACCAAGGCGACGAUCAGUAGCUGGUCUGAGAGGAUGAGCAGCCACAUUGGGACUGAGACACGGCCCAAACUCCUACGGGAGGCAGCAGUGGGGAAUCUUGCGCAAUGGGCGAAAGCCUGACGCAGCCAUGCCGCGUGAAUGAUGAAGGUCUUAGGAUUGUAAAAUUCUUUCACCGGGGACGAUAAUGACGGUACCCGGAGAAGAAGCCCCGGCUAACUUCGUG
rnacentral:rRNA from 1 species